rnacentral:rRNA from 1 species
UACGAAGGGGGCUAGCGUUGUUCGGAAUUACUGGGCGUAAAGCGCGCGCAGGCGGUCUUCCAAGUCAGUGGUGAAAGCCCGGAGCUCAACUCCGGAACUGCCAUUGAAACUGUUAGACUUGAGGAUGAGAGAGGUGAGUGGAAUUCCCAGUGUAGAGGUGAAAUUCGUAGAUAUUGGGAAGAACACCGGUGGCGAAGGCGGCUCACUGGCCCGGUACUGACGCUGAGGUGCGAAAGCGUGGGGAGCAAACAGG